rnacentral:rRNA from 1 species
GGACCCGCACAAGUAGUGGAGCAUGUGGUUUAAUUCGAAGAUACGCGCAGAACCUUACCAACACUUGACAUGUUCGUCGCGACUCUAAGAGAUUAGAGUUUUCGGUUCGGCCGGACGAAACACAGGUGCUGCAUGGCUGUCGUCAGCUCGUGUCGUGAGAUGUUGGGUUAAGUCCCGCAACGAGCGCAACCCUCACUUUUAGUUGCCAUCAUUUAGUUGGGCACUCUAUGGAAACUGCCCGUGAUAAGCGGGAGGAAGGUGUGGAUGACCGUCAAGUCCUCAUGGCCCUUACGGGGUUGGGCUACACACGUGCUACAAUGGUAGUGACAAUGGGUUAAUCCCAAAAAGCUAUCUCAGUUCGGA